UACAGAGGGUGCGAGCGUUAAUCGGAAUUACUGGGCGUAAAGCGUGCGUAGACGGUUAUUUAAGUCGGGUGUGAAAGCCCCGGGCUCAACCUGGGAAUUGCAUUCGAGACUGAAUAGCUAGGGUACGGUAGAGGGAAGCGGAAUUUCCGGUGUAGCGGUGAAAUGCGUAGAUAUCGGAAGGAACAUCAGUGGCGAAGGCGGCGUCCUGGACCAACACUGACACUGAUGAGCGAAAGCCAGGGGAGCAAACGGG
rnacentral:rRNA from 1 species